UACAGAGGGGGCAAGCGUUGUUCGGAAUUACUGGGCGUAAAGGGCGCGUAGGCGGCCUGUUAAGUCGAACGUGAAAUCCCCGGGCUCAACCCGGGAACUGCGUCCGAUACUGGCAGGCUUGAAUCCGGGAGAGGGAGCGGAAUUCCAGGUGUAGCGGUGAAAUGCGCAGAUAUCAGGAGGAACACCGAUGGCGAAGGCAGUUCUCUGGGCCGUAACUGACGCUGAGGAGCGAAAGCGUGGGGAGCGAACAGG
rnacentral:rRNA from 1 species